rnacentral:rRNA from 1 species
UACGUAGGGUGCAAGCGUUAAUCGGAAUUACUGGGCGUAAAGCGUGCGCAGGCGGUUUUGUAAGUCAGAUGUGAAAUCCCCGGGCUUAACCUGGGAACUGCGUUUGAAACUACAAGGCUAGAGUGUGGCAGAGGGGGGGUGGAAUUCCACGUGUAGCAGUGAAAUGCGUAGAGAUGUGGAGGAACACCGAUGGCGAAGGCAGCCC